CCUACGGGCGGCAGCAGUAGGGAAUUUUGCGCAAUGGGCGAAAGCCUGACGCAGCAACGCCGCGUGAUCGAGACGCCCUUCGGGGUGUAAAGAUCUGUCAGUGGGGACGAAACUUGACGGUACCCACAGAGGAAGCACCGGCUAACUCCGUGCCAGCAGCCGCGGUAAUACGGGGGGUGCAAGCGUUGUCCGGAAUCAUCGGGCGUAAAGGGUUCGUAGGCGGCACGUAAAGUCUGGUGUUAAAGGCAGAGGCUCAACUUCUGUACGGGACUGGAUCCUGGCGAGCGAGAGUGCGGUAGAGGUAAAGGGAAUUCCUGGUGUAGCGGUGAAAUGCUUAGAUAGCAGGAGGAACAUCGGUGGCGUAAGCGCUUUACUGGGCCGUAAUUGACGCUGAGGAACGAAAGCCAGGGUAGCAAAUGGGAUUAGAUACCCGUGUAGUC
rnacentral:rRNA from 1 species